GGAGAGGUGUCCGAGUGGUCGAAGGUGCCUGAUUCGAAAUCAGGUAGGCGAAAGCCUCGGGGGUUCGAAUCCCCCCCUCUCCGCCA
rnacentral:tRNA from 2 species